CUUUUUCAAGACUGUUUCGGCUAUUCAGGGUUUGUUGCACUUCCACCUGAGUUUUAAGCAUAGCUUGUCAAUUUCUGCAAAGCAGGCAGCUGGGAUUUUGAGGGCGACUGCUUGGAAUCUGUCGAUUGAUUGAAGAAGCAUUGCUGCCUUAAGGGCCUGAUAGUCACAACCUGAGGUUCCCGCUGGGACGGAGGAGCUGCCCAGGACUUCUGUCCCUGCACCAGGCCGCUCACCUUCUGUCCCUGCACCAAGCGCUCACCUUCUGUCCCUGCCUGGGAUGGGGUAUGGCUCCAGGUAACCCUGCUGAUCUAGGAAUUCAGACCGUGAGGGUUAAGAGACCUAUCUCCGUUUACACAAGGAAAUUAAUGAUAACUGCUGUGGAACCGCUCAGACAGCGCUCGUCUCUCAGCCCAAGGCUAAGCAGCAAUCAAGCCACCUUCUCCUGGGACUGAGUAUCGAGUGCGUCCCCGCCUGUGUGGAGCCAGCCUUGGUACCAGAAAGCGUCCAGCUUGGGAAGGGGCUGAUACUUUAUGUUAAAGAGGAGGUCACACCGUGCUGCUGCCGACCUGGUCUUUGCUCUGGGACUCCGUGG
ensembl:lncRNA